UUUAAAUCUUAGUCCAGUCUAACGAUUUGAAAGGUUAGACGGUACAUGUGCCAAGGAAAGACAGGAUGCAUCUUGGAAACAGUAUACUCCAUUAGUCUGAAGUCUAAAAGUGGAUAAGACAAAUGUGUGUUCUGGAUCUACUAUAUGGUGUUAUGAUAGUUCCCCAAUUGGAAGACGUGACCAGGAGAGAAGUAUUCUGAGAUCUAUGAAAAACCAGAUAAGAUAUGCACCUAAGAGAGAAGGGAAAUUGGUUCACAGUUAAC